rnacentral:lncRNA from 1 species
AGGAAGUAAAGCACCCUGGAGGCAAGAGGGCUGCAGUGCUGGCCUUGAGAGUAGCCAGAAAGGGAUGGUGGAAUGCUUGCAGGACGUCAUGUUCCCUUCCAUUCAGGAGGAGAAGGGGAAGCCUUGGAGGCCGCAGGAGGAGGAAAGGCCUGUUCCUUUAGCUCCACCAUGCUCUUCUCUCUUGCCUGUGGAACAGCAGCGGAGCCAACUUACAACAUUUCUCCGUUUGGUGUAUGAAGACUACCAGGAGAAAAGGCCGUUGCUGGGAAGGGCCUUCACGGGGUGUUUUCCAUUUGACUUGGUGGAAAAGGCUGCGAUCCCUUUGCUUCCUGCCUACCGAAAGCCGAGUUCAGGUACAGACCGUAUUACGAUCACCUGGCAAGCUGGAAGGAGGCCACCCCGGCUGAGAGGGAUGCUUCAGACUUCAGCAGGGAGGCCUGGCCCGCAGAAGACUCUCAGGAAGCACCCAAGACUUUUGCUCCACUGCAGCCCCCGGGGCCACCUCCCCCCUCCCCCUCCCCCUUGGAGAACAGCCCUAAUUCUCCCCCUGGCUUCCCUUGAAUCCAAAAGGGGCAGGGAGGCCAGAGGGGACUGGGUGGAUAAUCAGCAGCCAACUCCAGGGAGGGUUGCUUCUAUUUUAAAAGGGGUGGGGGCCCACUCUCGAACUUGCAACCAUUAAAAUUCCUGCUUUCCCCA